AUUGAACGCUGGCGGCAGGCCUAACACAUGCAAGUCGAGCGAACCUAGCUUGCUAGGUGAGCGGCGAACGGGUGAGUAACGCGUAGGAAUCUGCCCAAUAGUGGGGGACAACGUUCCGAAAGGGACGCUAAUACCGCAUACGCCCUACGGGGGAAAGCAGGGGAUCUUCGGACCUUGCGCUAUUGGAUGAGCCUGCGUCGGAUUAGCUAGUUGGCGGGGUAAAGGCCCACCAAGGCGACGAUCCGUAGCUGGUCUGAGAGGAUGAUCAGCCACACCGGAACUGAGACACGGUCCGGACUCCUACGGGAGGCUG
rnacentral:rRNA from 1 species